AUUGAACGCUGGCGGCAUGCUUUACACAUGCAAGUCGAACGGUAACAGGCCGCAAGGUGCUGACGAGUGGCGAACGGGUGAGUAAUGCAUCGGAACGUGCCCAGUCGUGGGGGAUAACGCAGCGAAAGCUGUGCUAAUACCGCAUACGAUCUAUGGAUGAAAGCGGGGGACCGUAAGGCCUCGCGCGAUUGGAGCGGCCGAUGUCAGAUUAGGUAGUUGGUGGGGUAAAGGCCUACCAAGCCGACGAUCUGUAGCUGGUCUGAGAGGACGACCAGCCACACUGGGACUGAGACACGGCCCAGAGUCCUACGGGAGGCAGCAGUGGGGAAUUUUGGACAAUGGGCGCAAGCCUGAUCCAGCAAUGCCGCGUGCAGGAAGAAGGCCUUCGGGUUGUAAACUGCUUUUGUACGGAACGAAACGGUCUGGGUUAAUACCCCGGGCUAAUGACGGUACCGUAAGAAUAAGCACCGGCUAACUACGUGCCAGCAGCCGCAGUAAUAC
rnacentral:rRNA from 1 species